UGGCCAAGCAAACAUACAAGUUUAAGCGUACAACUCACCAAGAGAUGGAAUUGAUUGCAAGACUAAAUAAUCCAUAUAUUGUUGACUACAAAGAUGCUUGGGUUGAUAAGGGAAACAACAUAUGCAUUGUAACCAGCUACUGUGAAGGAGGGGACAUGGCUGAGCUUAUUAAAAGGCCCGAGGGAUGCACUUUCCCGAGGAGGUAAU